CUUGCCACUGCCAUGUAAGAAAUGUCUUUCACCACUCCCACACCCUACCACGAUUCUGAGGCCUCCCCAGCCACGUGGAACUGAGGCAGCUGUAUGGAGGCCAAUAUGCAGACAAGGGAAGUAACUCAGGCAUUUUGGGGGAGAGGUACAGAAAGAAGAGAAACAAACUGACUGCUGUUCUGAACAAGAACUAUGACUAUAUGUGGUACUCUCAGAAUGCUGAUUUCCUUUCAGACCCAUCCAGUGGCUGUCCUCUUGGCUUGGACUGAAGACCCCCUCUGGAGAACUAUCUCUGCAGCCUGUACUGAUGACACUGGCCACUGUCCAGGGCUCCACCCCAACGAGUCCAAGGCCCAGACAUUUAGCCUCAGAGAUAAUCCAGAUUUUGCAUUUCCAGUGCAGGGAUUGACGGAGCCUUCAAGAAUAGUGUAUCAAAGUGCCAAUUUCUUUCUAACAGGCUGGGGAGGAUACCGCUGACAGCAGCAUAAAGGGGUAGCAGUGGUUUGCUUUCCAAAUGGUAAUAAGAAGGGCCUGGCAGUGGCACCCUGUCCACGCAUCAUUAAAAAUGGACUCUCCUGCUUCAUUUGGAAUUCGACCCAAUGAACUUGAAUAAACUCUGGACAACGACCAGCACAGAGCUCUUAGCAGGAUACAACAAGAUUAUUUGCUUUACUCAUCCACUGAAUACCUACCAUAUGGCAAAUACUAUGCUAUAUGCAGAGCGUACACUGGUGAGUAAAACAGAUAUGGUCCCUGGAGCCUAUGAAUCUUACCGUCUAGCCACAAAUAAUAAAAAGUAAGAAGAAUCUGAAGGACAACUGGGACACAAAUGAUCUUAGCCAAAA